GGCCGCCGAAAGUGAGGUUCGGCCGCCGAACAUGCAUGAGUUUAGGGGGCACGUUAGGCUGCUGAAGGUUGAUGACCAGGCCACCUAUAAAGAGCCCUCAGAUCGGAAAUGGGCGAGUUUUCUCCCCAUUCCCGAGCUCAGGUGAGUGUAUGCCCUCCCUUGGUUGCUUGUGUGUCUUCUCUUCAAAAUCCCUCAAGUUUUCAUGAGAUCUACCCUUGGUUUGAAGUUUUGAAGCUAAAGUAGAA
rnacentral:lncRNA from 1 species